CCAGUCUGGCCGUCUCCAAGCCGUGUCAACUCAUCCAACAACUUGGUUUUUAUCCAGGGAUAUUCAUCCUGAAUGGAGUCAAUAAAAGUAUCAAAGGCUUUGGGUCCCCUAGUUGGUGUCAGCAAGCACUGUAUUCUACAAGCAAGAAACCACAAAGCAGAAACCAGAAAUCACCAGCUCAUCGUGUGACACUGUAACAGAACCCAGUCUUCUACUUUGAGUAAUAAAGCUAUUAAAGAACACAGAAAGCAAAAAGAGAGAAAAGCAUACCACCAUCAUCACCGGCAUU